rnacentral:rRNA from 1 species
GACGAACGCUGGCGGCGUGCUUAACACAUGCAAGUCGAACGAAGUGGCGAACGGGUGAGUAACGCGUAAUCAAACUGCCCUUCAGAGGGGGACAACAGUUGGAAACGACUGCUAAUACCGCAUACUGAAGGCGGGGAUUGCGGAGGCUUAGCUAGUUGGAGGGGUAACGGCCCACCAAGGCGAUGAUCAGUAGCCGGUCUGAGAGGAUUACCGGCCACAUUGGGACUGAGACACGGCCCAGACUCCUACGGGAGGCAGCAGUGGGGAAUCUUCCGCAAUGGACGAAAGUCUGACGGAGCAACGCCGCGUGAGUGAUGACGGCCUUCGGGUUGUAAAGCUCUGUUAAUCGGGACGCGGUACCGGAAUAGAAAGCCACGGCUAACUACGUGCCAGCCGCCGCGGUAAUUC